rnacentral:rRNA from 1 species
AACAAGGUUUCCGUAGGUGAACCUGCGGAAGGAUCAUUACCGAGAGUUGCAGGCUUUUGUCUGCCAUCUCUUACCCAUGUCUUUUGCGUACUACACGUUUCCUCGGCAGGUCCGCCUGCCGUUAGGACCACAUUAAACCAUUUGCAGUUGCAGUCAGCGUCUGAAAAACUUAAUAAUUACAACUUUUAACAACGGAUCUCUUGGUUCUGGCAUCGAUGAAGAACGCAGCGAAAUGCGAUAAGUAGUGUGAAUUGCAGAAUUCAGUGAAUCAUCGAAUCUUUGAACGCACAUUGCGCCCCUUGGUAUUCCAUGGGGCAUGCCUGUUCGAGCGUCAUUUGUACCUUCAAGCUCUGCUUGGUGUUGGGUGUUUGUCCCGCCUUUGUGCGCGGACUCGCCUUAAAGCAAUUGGCAGCCGGCGUAUUAGUUUCGGAGCGCAGCACAAAUCGCGCUCUGUGUCUUAUACGGUAGCAUCCAUCAAGACUAUUUUACACUCUUGACCUCGGAUCAGGUAGGGAUACCCGCUGAACUUAAGCAUAUCAAUAAGCGGAGGAAAAGAAACCAACAGGGAUUGCCCUAGUAACGGCGAGUGAAGCGGCAACAGCUCAAAUUUGAAAUCUGGCGUCUUUGGCGUCCGAGUUGUAAUUUGCAGAGGGCGCUUUGGCGUUGGCAGCAGUCUAAGUUCCUUGGAACAGGACGUCACAGAGGGUGAGAAUCCCGUACGUGGUUGCUGGCCUUCGCCGUGUAAAGCCCCUUCGACGAGUCGAGUUGUUUGGGAAUGCAGCUCUAAAUGGGAGGUAAAUUUCUUCUAAAGCUAAAUACUGGCCAGAGACCGAUAGCGCACAAGUAGAGUGAUCGAAAGAUGAAAAGCACUUUGGAAAGAGAGUCAAACAGCACGUGAAAUUGUUAAAAGGGAAGCGCUUGCAGCCAGACUUGCCUGUAGUUGCUCAUCCGGACUUUUGUCCGGUGCACUCUUCUAUAGGCAGGCCAGCAUCAGUUUGGGCGGUUGGAUAAAGGUCUCUGUCAUGUACCUCUCUUCGGGGAGAACUUAUAGGGGAGACGACAUGCAACCAGCCUGGACUGAGGUCCGCGCAUUUGCUAGGAUGCUGGCGUAAUGGCUGUAAGCGGCCCGUCUUGAAACACGGACCAAGGAGUCUAACAUCUAUGCGAGUGUUUGGGUGUCAAGCCCGAACGCGUAAUGAAAGUGAACGGAGGUGGGAACCCCUCGGGGUGCACCAUCGACCGAUCCUGAUGUCUUCGGAUGGAUUUGAGUAAGAGCAUAGCUGUUGGGACCCGAAAGAUGGUGAACUAUGCUUGAAUAGGGUGAAGCCAGAGGAAACUCUGGUGGAGGCUCGCAGCGGUUCUGACGUGCAAAUCGAUCGUCAAAUUUGGGCAUAGGGGCGAAAGACUAAUCGAACUAUCUAGUAGCUGG